CAGAAGUACGAGUAUUAACAAGAGCAUCAGAUGUUCUACACUCAUGAGCAGUUCCUGCAUUAGGGGUUAAAAUUGAUGCAACGCCAGGUCGAUUAAAUCAAGGAACAUUCACAAUAAAUUGACCUGGAUUAUUCUUUGGACAAUGCUCAGAAAUCUGUGGAGCAAACCACAGAUUUAUACCAAUUGUAAUUGAAAGAACUUCAGUAAAUUUAUUUAUUAAGUGAUUAUCUAAGAUAAUUUAA